rnacentral:lncRNA from 1 species
UAAACAGAGUCUUUACAAAUAGAGAAAAAUGAAAAGACAAAACGCAGCAGGCCAACAGCCAAGCCAUAAAAUCGCACAUAGAAAACAACAAAACCCAUAAAUGCAAAAGAUAAAACCACCCUAUGCCAAAACCAAACGACUCAAAAACAAAAAUAUUAGCCAACACCUAUCUUCCUUCUUGUAAAAAAUGUAACUGAGAUGAGCAAACUGAAGAAAAGUAAAAAGCUUUGAACCCAUCAAUAGAGAUUCUUUGAACAUUCUCCAUAUUCAAAGCGAUUAUAAAAAGAAAGCUUGGCGAUUUUGGAUCCAAGCCAUCCGAUCCUUAUCUGCCAUCGUCCUCACCGAUUCUAGAGCUCCAUCUACCCAGACGCAAGGGAUUUAUAUUUUCCUUCAUUCCAAAGCCAAUGUGUGAGCCGCUCUAUUAACCGUUCGAGGAACAAAAACGUAAGAGACUUCUUCGAAAUUAUUUUCAAGGGUACAAAUAUGGUGCGUAAUCGGUCUGAGAAUUGAUCUUCCCUUUUUGUCUUGAGUUUUAUUAUUACCGACAGAGAGUCCCUUUCCAAGAGAAGACGCCAAAAACCCAUUUCAGACGCGAAAAUCAUAGCCCUUUCGCACGCCCUUGCUUCAGCCACAAAAGCGUCGACAACAUAUUCAAAAAGAUAAGUACACGCCCCUAUAAUUUCACCUUUAGAAUAUCUAGCUAAUAUUGUUGCAAUAGAGGUUCUAGAGUCACUUUAAAAAGACACAUGAAAAUUUAGCUUAAUAAUACCGAUGUCUGGGGGACUCCAUAGCUCCUUCAACAGCGAUCUAGAAAAAACCUGGAGUUUCUCAUGACUUUAACUUAUCUCUUAACUGUAGCCUCGAAUGAAUCCUAGCAAUUCCUACAAAGAAAACUUAACACCUUCAUGAAUAAGUUUGUUUCUUCGAUACCAUAGGGCUCAUAAAGAAAUAGCAAUAAUCUGUCUGUUGUCUUUAUCUGCUGCAGAGAAAGUGUUAACAAAUCAAGUUUUACAACUCGAGGUACACCCGACUGGAGCAAGGGUGAUUUGAAGAGAAGCCCAAAUGUGCUGUAAUAUUCCACAAGACUACAUCAAAUGGUCAGAGUCCUCUGGAGCCUCAUUACAAAGAGGACAGAUGACAUCCACACUUAAAGUCCUUUGAAAUAGAUUAUAGAAGUGAGGCACAAGAUUAUUAAACAAUCUCCAUAUGUGUAUUUUUAUUUUAGCUGGGAUGUACAUAAACCAAAAGGAUUUGUAGAAAUCCUUGUAGUUUUCUGCAUUAGGGAAAUUGUAAUUAGUAUUCUGUAGAUGUUCUAUAACUAGGACCCGAUACCCAUUUUUACAAAUCGGAAUGGAGAAAAUACGAGUCGCUUGAUCAUCAUCAACAAUAUUAUGAUGGCAAAUUAUGUAUUAUUAAUUAUCAAUGUAUGAGUAAGGUUAAUUUUUAAUAUUAGCUAUAUCACAUUGAGAUGAUUUUGUGUAUUUGUACAGUUUAAGAACUAAGGGAAGAAAUAUAGCGCAUUACAUUGACAUUAUGAUGGGUUAUGUCUUAUAAAAAUACUAUAAAGAUCCCUUCCUCCAUUUCUCACCACUCAAAAUCAAACAUCAAAACUAAGUAAAGAGAGAGAUCAAGUGUCACACCUGAAACUAUUAAAAUUAAAGUUUGGUCUUGAUUAUAGGGAAGACAUUGAUGAAGAUGAUUAUUUUGAAUUAAAUUCCGGUAAGUAGAGGUAUCAAAUUGAUAAACUUUC